rnacentral:rRNA from 1 species
AUGGACCCGUUUCAUUUCCCUGGACCUGCUGCAGCAGUCAUGUUCCGCUCACCCAUGCUCCUACUGCUCACCUUCCUCCUCUCUAGCACCACCACUAUAGCUGCCGAAAUCCCGCCGUCGUGCGAGCCAGCGUCGUGCGGCGACCUCCGCAUCACGUACCCCUUCUGGCUCGGCGGCACGCACCCGCCCGAGUGUGGCUACCACGCCUUCCGGGUCACCUGCGACCACCGCGCCGGCAGCAAGGCCUUACUCCAGCACUCAGUUUCCACGUACCAGAUCCUCGACAUCUCCUAUCAAGACAGCUCGUUGCGGAUCAAAAACGUUGAGCUCUCGGACGGCAUGUGCAACCCCAAGCUCCAUGCGAACGCCUCCUCCAACCUCGGCCUCGCGCCCUUCGGCAUCAGCGCCGCCAACCAGGAGCUCUUCUUCCUCUACAACUGCAGCGCCCUGCCGCCUCCGCCUACAUGGGCGCCCAUGUACUGCGCCACUGGAUCCAAGCGGCCGCUCAACAAUUCGUUUGCGUGGCUUGCUGGGGCAUACAAGCUAGACGACAUUUCGAGGCAGGUGCACUGGAACUGCACGGCGUCCAUGAUGCCAGUGCUCGGGUACAAGGGGGCGACCGGGGUGGACUACCAGCGGCUGAUGGAGGGCGGGUUCCUUCUUGAGUACACGGCCGGCGACUGUGUGGCGUGCAUGGAGAGCCGAGGAAUUUGCCGGACUAAUAUCACCAACGAUAUCUUCGAGUGCCACUGCCCCGACGGAAUUUCUUCGUCCAACAUCUGCGCUAUCAUGGAGACCGGCACGAAGAUUGUACUAAUAGGUAUGCUAGUUUUGGCAGUAACAGCUGCAACCUUGAUCUCCCUCUGUUUUUAUCUGCUGAGGCAUAUAAAGGUAAGACUAUGGAUUCCCCUUAGCAAGAAGACUAGCAGCAACACCGAAAAGAAUUAUGAGGCCAUGAUUGCAGCAUAUGGAUCCCUAGCUCCUACAAGAUACAUCUACUCGGAGGUAAUGAAGAUAACAUAUUCUUGUAAGAAACAACUUGGAAAAGGUGGUUAUGGUGUGGUUUUCAAAGGAAGGCUACAGGAUGGUCGUUUGGUUGCUGUGAAAUUCUUGCAUGAUUGCAAAGGAAACGGAGAAGAGUUUGUGAAUGAGGUUCUGAGCAUUGGAAGGACCUCUCAUGUUAAUGUUGUUAGCUUAUUUGGGUUUUGUUUCGAGGGAUCAAAGCGAGCUCUUAUAUAUGAGUAUAUGCCUAAUGGUUCCUUGGAUAAGUACAUUUACUCACAAAACCCCAAAGAAAUUUUAGGAUGGGAGAGGCUCUAUGUAAUAGCAAUCGGGAUUGCUCGUGGCCUUGAGUACUUACACCAUAGAUGUAAUACUCGUAUUGUCCAUUUCGAUAUGAAGCCUCAAAAUAUCCUUCUAGACAAGGAUUUUAGCCCAAAGAUUGCUGAUUUUGGUCUAGCUAAAUUAUGUCAUACAAAGGAGAGUGAGCUUUCAAUGACCGGUACUAGAGGAACAAUUGGGUUCAUCGCUCCGGAAAUCCACUCUCGAACCUUUGGAGUUGUUUCAACAAAAUCAGAUGUUUAUAGUUAUGUAAUGAUGUUGUUGGAGAUGGUUGGAGGUAGGAGAAAUGUCAAAUCAAUUGUGAACAAAUCUAGCGAAAAGUAUUUUCCAGAUUGGAUUUACGACCACUUUGCCCAAGAUGAAGGAUUAAAAGUAUGUGAAGUUACAAGCGAAGUUGAGGAAAUUGCGAGAAAGAUGACCUUAAUUGGCUUGUGGUGCAUACAAGUAUUACCUAUAUAUCGCCCUACUAUAACAAAAGUUCUAGAAAUGUUUGAGAAAAGCUUGGAUGAUUUGGACAUGCCACCAAAGCAGAGCUUCUAUGAACUACUUGAGAGUCCAACUAAUAAUAUGGAAGUACAAAGUGUAUGGUCUGAGACUGAGGAGAUUGAAACAUUGGAGAUACGCCAUGUCAAGGGUAUGCCCCCCACAAGGGAUAUUGCCUAG